rnacentral:rRNA from 1 species
CUACGGGCGGCAGCAGUGGGGAAUAUUGGACAAUGGGGGAAACCCUGAUCCAGCAAUGCCGCGUGUGUGAAGAAGGCCUGCGGGUUGUAAAGCACUUUCGGUUGGGAGGACUGCUUCUAGCACUAAUAUUGUUGGAAGUUGACGUUACCUUCAGAAGAAGCACCGGCUAACUCCGUGCCAGCAGCCGCGGUAAUACGGAGGGUGCAAGCGUUAAUCGGAAUUACUGGGCGUAAAGCGCGCGUAGGCGGCUAGGUCAGUCGGGUGUGAAAGCCCCGGGCUUAACCUGGGAACUGCAUCCGAUACUGUCUAGCUUGAGUACAGGAGAGGAGAGUGGAAUUCCACAUGUAGCGGUGAAAUGCGUAGAUAUGUGGAGGAACACCAAUGGCGAAGGCAGCUCUCUGGCCUGAUACUGACGCUGAGGUGCGAAAGCGCGGGGAGCAAACAGGAUUAGAUACCCCUGUAGUC